AGUGAUUCAUCACUAACAAGCUGUGGUAUGAGGUGAAUGAAACUGUGACCUUCGCCUGCAUUUAGGGGUGCUUCCAAAAUCUCCUGCUCAGCUGUGGCCCCUGGGAUAGAGCAGAGGGCUUGGGGUGCAGCAUUGCCUGGCUCUGUCUGUCCUUGGGGCUUCCUGAGUCCUUCUCCUCUUUGCAGAAGAAACAACCUUCCCAAAGCUGGUGUUUUCCAGGUAAUAGUUGAGGUUUUAUUGACAGCUGUGUGUAAAGGAGGUCUAAGACAGGUCAGGAGCUCACUGACUUUCCCUUCCCUUGUUGCCAAAUGUCCACCCCCACCAUGGGGAUGCCUGGAUUGAGACACUGCCAGAAACAGCAAAUCCAUGAGGAAUUCACAGCCCCUCGCAGGGGCUGCUCUGACCUUCACCCUCUUCUUGAAAAGAAGUAUUUUUGAUUUCACAGCUCCACAAUUUUAAGUUCCUCUGCACUUCCCAAACUCCUUUCUGACCUCUGGCUGAGCUGCCUUCUACCCUGGGUUUUCCUUUCAGUCCUGUGUCCAGAACCACGAGUGCCCUUUGCAAUGGUGAAAAGCCCUUUGAGUGAGCAAAGGUGGUACCAGACCAACGAGUCUGUCACCUUGGAGUGCCUUCCUGGCUACCAGUUCCCAGACAAUGGAAUGAUGGAAAAUGCCUGGACAGCCAAGUGCUUGCCUGAUGGCAGCUGGACACCACUGCCCAAGUGUAUGAAAGAAGGUGAUGCUGAUGUGUGUCAAGAGGUUCAUUACAUUAAAUCGACCUUUGAAUGUGGUGUGCCUGUGGAAAAAGUGAAAAGUCUGCUGGAAAUCCAGAAACUGUUCCUGGAGAUUAAAAAAUUACAGAUGGAGCUAGAGAACUGAAAAGAAACUGGGCCCCUGUAAUGCUCACCGUUCCUUUGGUGAACUCACCAAAGUUUGUGCAGUCCCAGCAUCUCUAAAAAGGUUCUGGGUGAUUUCGAGGUUUAUGUUUGCAUGCCUGGAGCCAGAAAAAUAAUCAGCAGUGCACAGGAGGCUGCUUUUGCUGUGCUGGAUGCCAGAGCAGGGAGUGGGUUUUGCUCUAACCUACAAGCUUGAUUUGCUCUUUAACUAAUAAGUUGUUUCAUGUUUCAUAUUAGGAAGAAUAGAAAGAAAUUAAAUUUAGCUUUAUAAAAUCACUGUCUUAACUGUGGUAAGCUGACGCAAAAGGGAGUGAUGUCCAGAAAAGCUGAGAUGAGUCCAGAGGUGACUCUGAAGGUUCUGCUGCUGCCAUGGUUUGGGUACAUUUGGGUUCAUGGUUUCUGCUGCUGAGGUUUGGGUACAUUUGCACCCUGCUGGAAACAGUGGUGGCAAUAAGUGUUAAACCUGCUUUCUG
rnacentral:lncRNA from 1 species